GAUGCACGCUGGCGGCGUGCCUAAUACAUGCAAGUCGAGCGAACGGACGAGAAGCUUGCUUCUCUGAUGUUAGCGGCGGACGGGUGAGUAACACGUGGAUAACCUACCUAUAAGACUGGGAUAACUUCGGGAAACCGGAGCUAAUACCGGAUAAUAUUUUGAACCGCAUGGUUCAAAAGUGAAAGACGGUCUUGCUGUCACUUAUAGAUGGAUCCGCGCUGCAUUAGCUAGUUGGUAAGGUAACGGCUUACCAAGGCAACGAUGCAUAGCCGACCUGAGAGGGUGAUCCGCCACACCGGAACUGAGACACGGUCCCGACUCCUACGGGAGGCCGCAGUAGGGAAUCCUCCGCAAUGGGCGAAAGCCUGACGGAGCAACGCCGCGUGAGUGAUGAAGGUCUUCGGAUCGUAAAACUCUGUUAUUAGGGAAGAACAUAUGUGUAAGUAACUGUGCACAUCUUGACGGUACCUAAUCAGAAAGCCACGGCUAACUACGUG
rnacentral:rRNA from 1 species